CCUACGGGCGGCAGCAGUGGGGAAUAUUGGACAAUGGGGGAAACCCUGAUCCAGCGACGCCGCGUGAAUGAAGACGUAUUUCGGUACGUAAAGCUCUAUCCGCAGGACAGAAAAUGACGGUACCUGACUCAGAAGCCCCGUCUAACUACGUGCCAGCAGCCGCGGUAAUACGUAGGGGGCCAGCGUUAUCCGGCUUUACUGGGUGUAAAGGGAGCGUAGACGGCAGCGCAAGUCUGGAGUGAAAUGCCGGGGCCCAACCCCGGAACUGCUCGGGAAACUGUGAAGCUGGAGUGCAGGCGAGGUAAGCGGAAGUCCUGGUGUAGCGGUGAAAUGCGUAGAUAUCAGGAGGAACACCGGCGGCGAAGGCGGCUUACUGGACUGUAACUGACGUUGAGGCUCGAAGGCGUGGGGAGCAAACAGGAUUAGAUACCCUGGUAGUC
rnacentral:rRNA from 1 species